UUCUCUACUUCUCUUUGAAGACUUCUACUCACUCCCAAGUCCCAACCCUAACUUUCUCAGUCUCUCUUCAACCUUCUUCCUCCAAAGUACAAACACCACCGUCACCUCCAACAAACGCCGGAGCAAAGCAUCACCGUCGUGGGUCGAAGGUCACCGUCGCGUCCGGGUCGAAGGUUGCCGUCGCGAAUCGAGGUCGAAGGCCACCGUCGCGGGUCGAAGCAUCACCGUGUUGGCGUCGUCGUGGUCGUCAGCUUGUUGUCGGCACCGAACUGUCACCGUCACCGAAGCGUGGGUCGACGUCUGGCUUUGACAGUCUGACCUUCUAUGCUCUCGGCCUCUCCCGUGGUGAGUACUCAAUAGUCAGUACUUCAAUCUUUUCCUUCUUUCAAUUAAUUUCAUUUAUUUGGUGAUAAAACUGUAUGAAUUGGACAGAUUUGAGUUCAUGGUUGUUCAUGGGUUCUUGUUCUGUUUUUCAAUUAAUUUUUUUUAUUUUGUUAAUUAUUCUUGUUUUGUUUUUCAAUUUUGUUUAUUUUAAAUUUCGGUAUACAAAUUCAAUUCUGCUAUGUUGGAUUUGGCUAUAUUGAGUUUUGUUGAUUUCUGCUCUGUUGAAUUUUGGGGUUUAAAAUUUAAAUUCAAUUAUGCUCUGUUAAUUAUGUUGAAUGAAUGUCGUAUGAGUUAUAUGGAUUGAUAUAUUUUUCUGGAUUCUAGAUUGCUGUCAUUUUGAAUUUAGAUGGAACAGCCACAAAAUGAUCCGCAACUACAACAUAAUUCUGUGGGCAUCUUCAAGGCUAGAAAUUAUGGAAUUAGCCCUCUCUAGUUGCUUGUUGAGAACCAUUGUAUUUUGAUUGACUUCAUUUAGUGAUUUUGUUCAGGUUCACUUUUCUUUUCAAUUUGAAUUAACUCUUUUAAAAUAAUUUUGUUAAUUUUUUGUGGUACUUAUUAAUUUUGUUGAUUGUUAAUUGUUGAUUUAAUUGUCUAAUUGUUUGGAUUCUGACUUCUGAAUUUGUUUUUUGAACUUUUGAUGUCGAAUGUAAUUGAUAAUUUUCUGUUUUGAACUUUUGGUGCUGCAUGUAUUCUUUGCUU
rnacentral:lncRNA from 1 species